UCCUCUGUGGUGUAAAUGGUUAAGUGUUCAGCUGCUAACUGAAAGGCUGGAGGUUCAAGUCCCCCCAGAGGAA
rnacentral:tRNA from 1 species